UAUUGUUUUACGCUAAAUUUAAAAGUACGUUCGUCCUAUAUGAAGUACAUUGAUUACAAUUUUUUAUACACAAGCAAACAAAAUUGUCAAUGUUUUUGAAUUGUCUUCAAUUGUCAUAAAUAUGUAUAUAUUUUAGCCGUCUUUAAUUUCCAUUUUGUCCAAGUAAUCGAUGACGCGGUUUUAUUAUUCUACAGGCAAAGAGAACUUUCUGCUUCAUUAAUUGCUUUUCUACGUUUCUCAUAUUUUCCUUGCCCUUUCGUUAAUUAUUAGAAACUAUUCGUAAUUUCUCAAUAAAUUGGAUAUACAAAAACUAUUAAUUUUCUUCAAAUAAAAGAAACCCAUAAGCCUAAGCUUAAAAUAUGGAUAUAUACAACUUGCAAGGCUCAUCACCUCCGAAUUUCAGAUUAAAACUAAUUGAAGACUUUUCUCUCUUUCACGUGCCAAUAGAUUCAAAUAAAAAGAAAACUUUGAGACUUCUAUAUGCACGUAACUUCGGCUACGUAACCAAGUCAAAAAUGAUCGACCACAUAUAUAUGUAUACACACAUUGAUUCAUCUUAUCAUUAUAUUAUUUUCUAUCAAUACAACAUCACAAAAACAAAAGCUAGCAAGCAAAUUACAAUACAAAAGGAUGAGUUUAUGCCCAGGUGAAAAGACUACUUGGCCAGAGCUUUGGGGAAUAGAAGGGGAGGCUGCGGAGGCAAUAAUAAAGAGGGACAAUCCAAAUGUGGAUGUAAUAAGUCUACCAGUUGGAUCAAUCACCAUUCAUGAUUUCAACUGCAACAGGGUCUGGCUUUUUCUCGACUCUAAUGGCUUUGUCGCUACCAUUCCCAAACUUGGUUAAUUAGAUCAUCCACCAUCCAUCGCCACUACUUCAUCAUCAUCAUCCAUCGCCAACCAUCCAGUGCCUCGACCUACCAAUUAUACCCUCUUCUUACAUCAUUUGUUUCCUCUUUUAUUUUUUGGUGAAUUAGAUUAUUUGUUCUUUGUAUUUACAAAAAAAAUACAUCAUUUGUUUCCUCUUUUAUUUUUUGGUGAAUUAGAUUAUUUGUUCUUUGUAUUUACAAAAAAAAAAAAAAAGCAUACAAAAAUGUGUAAAAGAUAUAAGAUUUAUUCAUUA